CAGGGGGUAUUUUAAUGUAAAAUGUCAGUUUUGGGGAUUGGUGAUGUAGUGUUUCUAUUCCCUUGA
rnacentral:tRNA from 1 species